GGGGUUAUAGCUCAGUGGUAGAGUGUAUGCUUAGCAUGCACGAGGUCCUGGUUCAAUCCCCAGUACCGCCA
rfam:Camelus ferus unplaced genomic scaffold scaffold634, whole genome shotgun sequence.